rnacentral:rRNA from 1 species
UCCGUAGGUGAACCUGCGGAAGGAUCAUUACUAGAG